UAGCCACAUUUCUUCUGACAGAGCUCCGAC
rnacentral:piRNA from 1 species